rnacentral:misc_RNA from 1 species
UACGGAGGGUGCAAGCGUUGUUCGGAAUUACUGGGCGUAAAGCGCGCGCAGGCGGAUGGGCAAGUCGGGGGUGAAAGCCUGGGGCUCAACCCCGGGACGUCUCCCGAUACUGCUCGUCUAGAGACCGGUAGGGGCAGGUGGAAUUCCCGGUGUAGCGGUGGAAUGCGUAGAUAUCGGGAAGAACACCGGUGGCGAAGGCGGCCUGCUGGGCCGGUUCUGACGCUGAGGCGCGAAAGCGUGGGGAGCAAACAGG